rnacentral:lncRNA from 1 species
UUUAAUAUUAACAACACAUAGCCAUUAAACUGAAAACAAACCAAAUCACCAUGUCUGUAACCAAAAAGAAAGAAACAAAUCACCGUGUCUAAUUUAAUUAAAUUAGGAAUUAGAUUGAUGAUAGCUUGUACGUUGUAUUUGAACCAUUUGCAGUAAGUAGAAUAUACAUAACUGCUACUAAUCACAAAACCCAACUUGUAACAACCCCGCAACAAUUUAGAGAGGCAAAUUUGCAUAAUCAUAAAAACGAAAAUAAAGAUUGUAUUAGGCAUAUAUAAAUUAUAAUCCAUGUGCUACUGCUUCCAUGAAAAAGAAAACUAGGGAAGAUUUGAUAACUCAUGAUAAUAACUAGGUUAUAUUCAAUACAUUCUCUGAUAUGUAAGGUGAUAAGCGUCCUUGGACCUGAAAAGAAGUAAUGUUUUUUACAUUAGAACAUGUAUUCGUUAAUCAUGAUAUUAUUUAUAAAACAUAGACAAUAAUAAUAAACCAUUACCUUUCCCUACACGGAUUAAAAAAAUAAAAUAAGAAAAUGAACAUUACAUUGAAAGUUUGAAACAAGGGUGAUUCGAUUGAUUUCAAAACACUUGAACAAGAUUGAUGUUAAGAAGUAUAGGUUUAGGGUAACGGAAGAAGGAAAUGAAGAAUAGACGUAAAACUCAAGGUAAUAACUUGAAUUUAUUAUUAUUUGUAAAAAAAAAAAAGUGACGUGCAAAGAAUCUUAUUCAAUCUAAUGCUUGUACAAAUAAUUAGUGUGUACCGGUACUACUAG